GCCACCCCCUUUUCUCCCCCUUGGCUGGACGCCCCCUCCCCCUAUGGCAGCCAUCAUCCAUUGCUUCCUCCCCCAAGAUCUUCCCCUACGCAGCAAGGAUCGAGAAAAGGAGGGGCACGUUGAAUUGAAGAGGAAGAGAGGAUCAAGGAGAUGUUCUUCCCCAUCUCUUCUUGAAGAUUUCUUGGGGAAACCCUAGGUGCUUGUUGCUCAUCAAGGGGAGUGGGAAGUAGCAGCACAUCCACCUUCACUCUCAUAAUAAUGCAACCCAGACACAGCCAUGAUUUAGUUAGAAACUUCUUGUCAAAGGAUGUUUGUUUUUAACUAGUCGUGCACACUGAUUAAUUCAGUUCAUUGUUGUUAUGGUUGUCUUCC